GAGACAAAAAUAAAUGACGUUGAUUGUUAGUAAGAGCUCUCGUGUAUACAACAUGUGUAUGCGAGGGCUUUCUUAAUUAUGGUAAUUAGUUCGUGUUUGAAUGUUUUUGAUAGUAAUAGUUA
rnacentral:rRNA from 1 species